rnacentral:rRNA from 1 species
UACGUAGGGGGCAAGCGUUGUCCGGAAUCAUUGGGCGUAAAGCGCGUGUAGGCGGCUCGGUAAGUCUGCUGUGAAAGUCCAGGGCUCAACCCUGGAAAGCCGGUGGAAACUGUCGAGCUAGAGUCCGGAAGAGGCGAGUGGAAUUCCUGGUGUAGCGGUGAAACGCGCAGAUAUCAGGAGGAGCACCAAUGGCGAAGGCAGCUCGCUGGGACGGUACUGACGCUGAGACGCGAAAGCGUGGGGAGCAAACAGG